UACGGAGGAUGCAAGCGUUAUCCGGAAUGAUUGGGCGUAAAGCGUCCGCAGGUGGCAAUGAAAGUCUGCUGUCAAAGAAUUUGGCUCAACCAGAUAAAGGCAGUGGAAACUACAUAGCUAGAGUGAGGUAGGGGCAGAGGGAAUUCCUGGUGUAGCGGUGAAAUGCGUAGAGAUCAGGAAGAACACCGGUGGCGAAAGCGCUCUGCUGGACCACAACUGACACUGAGGGACGAAAGCUAGGGGAGCGAAUGGG
rnacentral:rRNA from 1 species